rnacentral:rRNA from 1 species
AUUGAACGCUGGCGGCAUGCCUUACACAUGCAAGUCGAACGGUAACAGGUCUUCGGAUGCUGACGAGUGGCGAACGGGUGAGUAAUACAUCGGAACGUGCCCGAUCGUGGGGGAUAACGGAGCGAAAGCUUUGCUAAUACCGCAUACGAUCUACGGAUGAAAGCAGGGGACCGCAAGGCCUUGCGCGGACGGAGCGGCCGAUGGCAGAUUAGGUAGUUGGUGGGAUAAAAGCUUACCAAGCCGACGAUCUGUAGCUGGUCUGAGAGGACGACCAGCCACACUGGGACUGAGACACGGCCCAGACUCCUACGGGAGGCAGCAGUGGGGAAUUUUGGACAAUGGGCGAAAGCCUGAUCCAGCCAUGCCGCGUGCAGGAUGAAGGCC